AGUGAACGCUGGCGGUAGGCCUAACACAUGCAAGUCGAACGGCAGCACAGGAGAGCUUGCUCUCUGGGUGGCGAGUGGCGGACGGGUGAGGAAUACAUCGGAAUCUACCUUUUCGUGAGGGAUAACGUAGGGAAACUUACGCUAAUACCGCAUACGACCUACGGGUGAAAGUGGGGGACCGCAAGGCCUCACGCGAUUAGAUGAGCCGAUGUCCGAUUAGCUAGUUGGCGGGGUAAUGGCCCACCAAGGCGACGAUCGGUAGCUGGUCUGAGAGGAUGAUCAGCCACACUGGAACUGAGACACGGUCCAGACUCCUACGGGAGGCAGCAGUGGGGAAUAUUGGACAAUGGGCGCAAGCCUGAUCCAGCCAUACCGCGUGGGUGAAGAAGGCCUUCGGGUUGUAAAGCCCUUUUGUUGGGAAAGAAAUCCUGUCGAUUAAUACUCGGUGGGGAUGACGGUACCCAAAGAAUAAGCACCGGCUAACUUCGUGCCAGCCGCCGCCGUAA
rnacentral:rRNA from 1 species